UACAGAGGGUGCAAGCGUUAAUCGGAGUUACUGGGCGUAAAGGGCGCGUAGGUGGUUGUUUAAGUUUGAUGUGAAAUCCCUGGGCUUAACCUAGGAACUGCAUUGAAUACUGGGCAACUUGAGUACUGUAGAGGGUAGUGGAAUUUCCGGUGUAGCGGUGAAAUGCGUAGAGAUCGGAAGGAACACCAGUGGCGAAGGCGGCUACCUGGACAGAUACUGACACUGAGGCGCGAAAGCGUGGGGAUCAAACAGG
rnacentral:rRNA from 1 species